rnacentral:rRNA from 1 species
AGCAGCCGCGGUAAUUCCAGCUCCAAUAGCGUAUAUUAAAGUUGUUGCAGUUAAAAAGCUCGUAGUUGAAUUUCGGGGUCAGUAGUUUGGUCGUGCCAAUGGUAUGUACUGGGCUCACUGAUUCCUCCUUCCUGAUGAACUGUAAUGCCAUUAAUUUGGUGUUGCAGGGAAACUGGACUGUUACUUUGAAAAAAUUAGAGUGUUUAAAGCAAGCUAACGCUUGAAUACAUUAGCAUGGAAUAAUGAAAUAGGACGUUCGAUCCUAUUUCGUUGGUUUCUAGGAUUGACGUAAUGAUUAAUAGGGAUAGUUGGGGGCAUUAGUAUUCAAUUGUCAGAGGUGAAAUUCUUGGAUUUAUUGAAGACUAACUACUGCGAAAGCAUUUGCCAAGGAUGUUUUCAUUAAUCAAGAACGAAAGUUAGGGGAUCGAAGACGAUCAGAUACCGUCGUAGUCUUAACCAUAAACUAUGCCGACUAGGGAUCGGAUGAUGUUAAUUUUUAAUGA